UACAGAGGUGCCAAGCGUUAGGCGGAAUCACUGGGCUUAAAGCGCGUGUAGGUGGACGGGUAAGUAUCUUGUGAAAUCCCACGGCUCAACCGUGGAACUGCUGGAUAUACUGCUUGUCUUGAGGCACUUAGGGGCAGCUGGAACAAAUGGUGGAGCGGUGAGAUGCGUAGAUAUCAGGAGGAACACCGAUGGCGAAGGCAGCUCGCUGGGACGGUACUGACGCUGAGGCGCGAAAGCGUGGGGAGCGAACAGG
rnacentral:rRNA from 1 species